AAAGCUUUAAGUUAAAAAAAACUAAUAACCUUCAAAGUUAUAAAUAUAAUAAUUUUAUAAGCUUUA
rnacentral:tRNA from 1 species